CGUUCUGUCGACGGUAAGGCCCUUCGGGGUACACGAGUGGCGAACGGGUGAGUAACACGUGGGUGAUCUGCCCUGCACUUCGGGAUAAGCUUGGGAAACUGGGUCUAAUACCGGAUAGGACCACGGUCUGCAUGGAUUGUGGUGGAAAGCUUUUGCGGUGUGGGAUGGGCCCGCGGCCUAUCAGCUUGUUGGUGGGGUGAUGGCCUACCAAGGCGACGACGGGUAGCCGGCCUGAGAGGGUGUCCGGCCACACUGGGACUGAGAUACGGCCCAGACUCCUACGGGAGGCAGCAGUGGGGAAUAUUGCACAAUGGGCGCAAGCCUGAUGCAGCGACGCCGCGUGGGGGAUGACGGCCUUCGGGUUGUAAACCUCUUUCAGCAUCGACGAAGCGCAAGUGACGGUAGAUGCAGAAGAAGCACCGGCCAACUAC
rnacentral:rRNA from 1 species